UUUCCUGAGAUUCAUCUUUACUUGGUAAGAACAUCUUUUUGUUUGUGGCCAACAUAUGCUUUGUUCUAGUCAAAAAAUCUCCUUCCAAACAUCUUAACCUUUGUUUUCUUAGUUGUCCAGUAACAACUGAUUCAGCAAAUCUAACUUGAGACAUCUUUUAUACUUCUAUAUCAAAACUUGCUUCCAUCUCUAUUUCACGUACAGGUUCCAAUUCAGAGAGCCUUCUGCUAAGCAUUCAUAUCUUCAUAUCAUAUCUGGCAAAACUUUCCUGUAAAACGUUUAUCUUUCCCAACAAUGCAUGACCACGCCUGGAAUUCACCCCAGAGCUCUCCCUGCAUGUGCGGCUCUCAGAUCCGUGCCCUCCAAAGGUUCCUGCUGCAGUCCUGCCCUGCUGUGGCUCCCGGGGUGCUGAGCAAACAGCAGCUCAGCGCCAGCCCCAGGAGCCAGCAGCACUGGGGGGUGACAGCGCUGUCACAGCCACGGCAGCGAGGGUGGCAAACCAGCUCCAGAGCAAACGGGCUGGGCCAGGCAAAUUCAGGUACAAAUGGGGAAAAGCGUGUGGGAAUCCAGGCACUGGGCUGGACUGAACUGAUGGGACGUGGAGCAGAGUCUUUCACAGCUCAGGUUUCUUAUUUUGAACUGUUUGUGUUCUGCACUACCUGUAUUCUGUAUGGUUUUUGGCCUUCCACUUCCUGUGCCAGCACUGGUGGAUAGUUCCAGGCCAGCUCGUUGGGAAUUUUACUGCCCCUGGAGCUGCCUGUAGUCAGGUCUCUGGCUAAUCUCACUGCUGGCUGGAGCACCAAGGCUUUCCUGUUUCCCCAGGAGUUUGCUGAGCACUGUGGGGAGCACUUGGACACUUCUCCCUGCUGCCAGUCCCACAACUCCUGUGCUGUGCCCGAGCAGGGGGGUUUGGGUCCAUCCCUGCGGUGCUUUGGGGCAGCUGCAUGUGCAGAACAUGGUAACAGGGACAUUCCCCCAGGAAUGUGCUCUGCUCCCUACAAGAAUCCUGAGUGCUUCCCUCACCUCCCAGGGUUUUUCCAUGGGAGAAGCUUUGCCCGCACAGGGAGGCACAGGAAGGAUUUUUCCCCACAGCUUCAAACCACACAGUGAGGCCUCUGCAACGCUGCUUCCUCCUGAUCCCAGGGCAGCCAACACAACCUCCCACAAGUAUCACAGCCUGGGUUCCACCCCCUCAAGUUCUGUCACUCUCCCUCUUUUUGUCAGAAGUGUUUGUUCCCCUCUUCCACAGCUCCUGCUGCAGUGACACCUGGCAACAUCUGACUCACUCUGUGUUAUCACCUGAGGAUAAUCCAGGGCUCACUCUGUAUCCAAAAUUGCCCUCCUUUCCACAGAAGAGCCAAUUUUCCAUGACAAAAAGCUGCUCCCUUUCAUCACUUUCAUCCUGGAAUCUGAAUCAGGAGAUUUUACACCUCUCAAAACUGGGAGUUCUCCAGGCCCAGCCGUGUGUGUUUGAAAUUCCAGGUGGAUCACACCUUUCAGGAAGCAUUGCCACACGUUUUUGCUUCCAGGGAAUGGCAGGAGAAGCCCCUGGGCCUCUCUUGCUGACAGAAAAUGGGGAUUUAUGGCCCAUUCCUGCUGCCUUGUGGCACAUUUGGAAGCAAUAAAACAUUCCCAGUCCUUCAGCAGCUCCUGUAGGAGCAAAGCAGCACUUGUAGGAUGGUGUUUUUGUAGGAUGGGGUUUGCGAGAUGGCGUUUGUGGGAUGGGGUUUGGAGGAUGGUGGUUUUAUAGGAUGCAGUUUGUAUGAUGCCAUUUUUGUAGAAUGCUGUUUGUGGAACGGUGUUUGUGGGAUGCUGGGGCUCCUUUGAUGAGCUGUGCAGACAGGAAUUAGAUCCUGCUCCAGCCAGGAGAGACCCCUGCCCCACGAGGCCUCCAACCCCAAAAGCAGUGUGAGGGAAAGGCAGCUCAGCCUCUGACAGGAACUGGGACCAUCCCUGUUGAACAGGCAAUACGGGCAGGGGGGAUUACAAAACAAAUUCUCUCAAAUGCCCCCAAAGGGGUGUGAUUUCAGCGGUGCUAAACUCCUCUUUCCCAGGUUGUUUUGCAGUGCCUUCAGGAGUGUGUGGAUCAUGUUUACAAACUCUCCAGUGCUGGUGAAAUCUGGAGAUUUCUUUAACCAAAAACCUGAAAUCCCCUGAACAAAACCCUGCAGUUCUGGAAAGGCAACUUCAAAGAGCCCCUGUCCCUGACAGGGCUCUGAUUCUACAGGAUCUGGAGCAGGGAAGCAGAAGGAUAAAGGGUGGUCACAGCCAAACUCGAGCUCAAGCCAAACUAAAGAUCUUCAGGGACACCCAGGACAAGCCCAGCUGAGUGUGGGACUUCACAGAGUCUCAGGAAAUGUCAUGGAAAUGUGAGAUGAAGGCUUCAUCCCGUUUAUAGGUGGAGGAGCUGAAGGGUGGAACUGAAACCAGCCCCAUGGAGAGAGAGGGGAAGAGGCCCGAGGUCACGCUGUGUGUCAGGGCCUGCCAGGAUUUGUGAUUCUCUGCUCCAAAAUAAACAGCAGGGAUUAAACCCCACCCCUGCUGACCCUAGCAUUAAAGUGGCAGCUGGUUUAAGUAGGAACUGGAUUUCAGCUUGGAUUAAAUGGAGCCCUGAACCAGUUAAAAGCUUCCCAGAGCCCUGCUUCUGGUUUGUCCCUUUUCCUCUUUAUUUCUCUUCUGAAAGAGACUUUGUCACAAGACCUGAAUUCUUGCUCUUUGCCAAUUCUUCUGCCCCUGCCACUUUUCCUUACAACUGAUUUAUUGUGACACCACUGCUGACCCCAAAGGAACAGCUUGGACUGGAACGCAGAAUGGGGAAAAAAGUUCCCCUCUGUAAAAAACGGGAGAAACAGGAAAAAUGUGGGCUUUACAAUCUAAUUUCAGCUGUUUAUCUGCACUUCCUAAGGGCUGCACAAUUAAAAAUUCCCAGGAGCAUCACAAUUCUACAAUUGGUGCUUCCAAGGGAUAAAAAUAAACAA